GACGAACGCUGGCGGCGUGCUUAACACAUGCAAGUCGAACGGAAAGGCCCGGCUUUUGUGGGGUGCUCGAGUGGCGAACGGGUGAGUAACACGUGAGUAACCUGCCCUUGACUGUGGGAUAACUUCAUGAAACUGGGGCUAAUACCCGAUAUGAGCUCCUGCUGCAUGGUGGGGGUUGGUAAGUUUCGGCGGUUGGUGAUGGACUCGCGGCUUAUCAGCUUGUUGGUGGGGUAGUGGCUUACCACGGCUUUGACGGGUAGCCGGCCUGAGAGGGUGACCGGCCACAUUGGGACUGAGAUACGGCCCAGACUCCUACGGGAGGCAGCAGUGGGGAAUAUUGCACAAUGGGCGGAAGCCUGAUGCAGCAACGCCGCGUGCGGGAUGACGGCCUUCGGGUUGUAAACCGCUUUCGCCUGUGACGAAGCGUGAGUGACGGUAAUGGGUAAAGAAGCACCGGCUAACUACGUG
rnacentral:rRNA from 1 species